UUGGAUAUGUUGGCAGCUUCCGUUUCAAGAUGUCGAAUUUCCACAAGGAAAUCUGACAAGUGUUUCUCCUAAUGCUACCUAUUGUACUUCGUGUUUGAAUCCAAAUACACAGAAAACUGUUGAUGAGUUCUCAUAUUCGGCAUGAGUGAGGGGCAUCCCGAGAGUGGAGAUAUUGUGGAAAACCCUGAACCUGAAGCCGAUGCUGAACUUCCUGUGAUAGGUGCCGCUGUGGAAGAUGACGGGCAGGUAGCUCGGGCAGAUGUGACAGACCAGCCAGAAGAUGAUGGGCACGUAGCUGGGGAAGAUGUGACCGACCAACCAGAAGGUGACAGGCACGUAGCUGGGGAAGAUGUGACCGACCAACCAGAAGGUGACAGGCAGGUUGCUCAGGCAGUUCUGACAGACCAUCCAGAAGAUGAAGGGCAUGUAGCUUGGGAAGAUGUAACCGACAAGCCAGAAGAUGAUGGGCACGUAGCUGGGGAAGAUCAACCAGAAGAUGACGGUGAUGUAGCUCGGGCAGAAGUGACUGAUCGUCCAGAAGAUGACGGUGACAUAGCUCGAGCAGAAGUGACUGAUCAGCCAGAAGAUGACGGUGAUGUAGCUCGGGCAGAAGUGACUGAUCGUCCAGAAGAUGACGGUGACGUUGCUCGGGCAGAAGUGACUGACCAACCAGAAGAUGAAUGCAUCGGAGCAGAGGUGGAAGCUUCUGAGAGCGAACAACACACAAAUGGUUGUGAUGACAUUGUUGAGGGCUUGGAGGCAGAGGCUUCUGAGAGUGAAAGACAUUCAAAUGAAAAUAUUAACACAGUCAAGGACGACCAGUCACACAGUGUUGAAGGAGAUGCUUCAGAGAGUGAUAGACACACUAAUGGAAGUGAUGACUUUGAAGAUUUGUUGGAUGUAGAAGAAGAGGCGUCGGAGAGUGAGAGACAUUCUAAUGAAAAUAUUGACUUUGUUAAAGACUCUUUUGAUGUGGAGGGCGAUGCUUCAGAGAGUGAAAGACAUGUACAUGGAAAUAAUGAACACUCCCUGCAUCUAGAGGGAGAGGAGGCUGAAGGAGUCCUCCCAAUGCAGAUCGCUUCUGAUGCCACCCUUGAAGCAAGCGAAUCUUCUCAUGAACAUGAUCAGGCAAGAGUGACCUCCCCUGAAUGUAGUCUAUCAAGGCAGAUAACUCCAAAACAUGUUGCAAAUCCAUCUGCAAUUUGUGGUGUGGCCGACAGCAAAGCUGUUGUUGCAGAUGUGUCAUUUUCUCAGUCAGAUCGGUUGUGUUCUUCUGGGUCCAUUGUGGCUGUUGUAAGUGGCCAGGGUUAUUCCGAGGAAGAUGAAGUGUCACAAGGUGCUGUGGCUAUGAACUGUGAUGGAGGGGCAUACAGCGUAGAAAACAAUGGUGAGGUUUUGGAUGGAGGAUUAAAUGGAACACUUGGAGGACAGUGCCCAAUACAAGCAGCUGCUCCUGAAGGUGAAGGUGUUGAGCAGAUUGUAGAAGAUCCUCAAGCUCCCGAGUGUGAUCGAAACUUUGCACUUGGACUUGACUCUGGAAGUGACCAGACUUCAAGCCAAGAACAUCCAUCAAGUCAGCCCUGUGAGGCUUUUCAAGGAGCUGAAGCACCGUCAGUGGAGGAGAGUAUAGGGCAUUCUAUGUCAAACAUUUCAGGAAGUUCAAAUGUGGAAUUGAAAGUACCCUCCCAUGCAGAGUUUCCUGACAGUUCGAUUUUACCAUCAUCGGAUGUAGCAGGUGCUCAGUUAGGUAAAGUUAAUGGGAAGCCAGACAAUGUGGAAUAUGGUACAGAGCUAGGUGUUGAACUUUCAGAAGAAUAUUCUGAUGUCGAGUGUAGCAACCAAAAUGUCUCUGCUUCAUCUGCAACAAACCAGGAAGAUAUACCAAAAGACAUAUCUGUUACUCUGUGUUCUGUUCAGUCAAAUUCCCCAUCUGAAACUAAAUCUAGUCUGGUGGCUUCUCCACCAUCACAUCCAGUUCACCAAAGUCCCGAACAGUCUCAGGCAUCAGGGGUAGACUCCGGUGAUGUGGAGGAUGAUCUCCUGUCAGAACUAGAUGCAGCUUUGCAUUCACACACAGAUGUAUCCCAACUGGAACCCAUUGUAGAGAAAGCCACAGACUCGGUGAUGGAACCGUUGAUGGAAUAUGAACAGCUGAGUGGCAGUGAUUCCCUUCCUAAUGGAUUCAAUAUGGCAGGAUUAUGUGACCCUCUGCAGGUCAAGGUCAUUCAGGAACAACUGAUGCGCAUGCAAAAACAAGUGGAAGACAGUCAGAUAAAACUGAACAAGUUACAGUCAGAGAAGCAGCAGCAAGUUGAGGCGUUGGUGACGACGGUGAAGGAGAGGGACACGUACCUGAAGCAGGUGGAGGUCUUGAAGACCCGCAACCCGGACGACUACUACCUGCCCCAGUUAAAGGAGCUGGAGUACACUAUAGCGCAGCAGCAGAAUGAGAUGCGAGGCCUCAAGGACAAGCUGUCCUCCCACGACAACGCUGCCAAGAGGGCAGUGUCCACACUACAGAAUGAACUCAAGGUCAGGGUUGACCAGGUUACUAAGAUGUAUGAAGAAUGUGUUCGGGAGAAGGACUCCAUGGUUGUAAAGUACGCAGAGUCAGAACAGAAGAACAUCGAAUGUCGGAAGAUGGUGGAGAAGCUGGAAGCAAAGAUCCGAGAAUCUGCGAAGGACCGAGAGUCCAUGGUUAGCAAGGUGAAGGCCGUCAAGAUAGAGAAGCAUAGAGCAGUGGCAGACAUGGAGGCCAAGUCGUCAGAGUUGACGCAGGCGCUGAAGGAGAUGGAGAAGAUGAGGGAGGCAUUGUCAUCUGCCGAUGUGAGAAUCAAGUGGGCUCAGAACAAACUGCGGGCAGAGCUGGAUUCUCACAAGGAAACCAAGGCCACUCUGGAGAAAACCAACAUCAAGCUGAAGGAGGCGAAGGAGGAGACGAUGCAGAUUCGCCGAGACUGCCAGGCCAUGAUCAAGACGUACCAGGAGUCAGAGGAGAUCAAGUCCAACUCCCUGGACAAGGAGCUGAAGGUGAAGGAGACAGAGUUGAUCAUCCAACGCCAGGAGCGAGAUGACCGCGAGGAGCUGUACCAGCUGACUAGCCGGGAGCUGGAGUCCCUGAAGGUGAAGCACAAGGACAGCCUGGAGGAGCUGAUCACACUCCGAGACAAGAUGAAGUGUCUGGAAGAGGAGCGCCACCAGAAGCAGGGCAUGCUGACCCAGUUCCAGGACAUGGUGCAGCAGCAGAAGGAGGAGAACCGUGACCUCCACAGCAAGACCUCCAGCAUGGGGCGGCUGCAGGACGACUUCUCCAGGGCCCAGGACAUGAUCAAGACGUUGGACCGGGAUAUCGCUGACCUCAUGGUGACCAACAAGGAUCUCCAGCAGGACAUGGAGGGGUGUCGCCGUCGCGAGUCCGAGCUCCUGGACCUCACUGAGAAACUUAGUCGGAAGAACGCCAAGCUCCAGUCUGACAACACCAAUCUCAAUAACCAGGUUGUGACAUUGUCAAGUGAGGCAGAAAAAUGGAAGAUGGAAAUACAAGAGCUGGAAACUCGGGUCCAAGAUGUUGAGGAGAAGUGGACGACAGAACAGAAGAAGAGGAAAGAGGAGACGGAAUCUCUCAGGAAUCUCUCAGAGCAGAGUUGGAAGAGAAGACAAAACAUGUUGACAAUUAUCAGCAGCAGCUGGAGGAUGAGAAGGACCUGACGCGGACGUUGAAGCGGAAACAUGUCAACAACAUCAAGGACUUGACACGGCAGCUCCAGCAGGCCAGGAGGAAGCUGGAAGCACACGAGAACCAUGUAGAACGAGAUACCACCAGCAUGGGGUCUCGUACAAGCUCAAACGGGUCUCUUAACACCCUUGGAGACAACGCAACAGCUCACAACAAUGCCAAUGUUAACAGCAACCACAGCUCAAACAGCAACUCUAGAGCCCCCAGCCACGAACAGGAGUACCCAGUGAUA
rnacentral:misc_RNA from 1 species